UGUUCUCUAACAGUGUAGUUGGGUGAUGUGUUCUCUAACAGUGUAGUUGGGUGAUGUGUUCUCUAACAGUGUAGUUGGGUGAUAUGUUCUCUAACAGUGUAGUUGGGUGAUGUGUUCUCUAACAGUGUAGUUGGGUGAUGUGUUCUCUAACAGUGUAGUUGGGUGAUGUGUUCUCUAACAGUGUAGUUGGGUGAUGUGUUCUCUAACAGUGUAGUCGGGGUGACAUGUUCCCUAACAGUGUAGUUGGGUGAUGUGUUCUCUAACAGUGUAGUUGGGUGAAGUGCAGUUGAGGUGCAGUGUUGGUGGGUGGCCAGGAGAGGGUGCUCAUGUCUGAGAUGUUCUCUGGUAAAAUCUCAUUGACCUCUUUUCCUUGGCCUUCAGCCGUAUUCCCUCUGAACAAGUGUCUUUAAGCUGAGAGAAUACAAAUUGAGGAUGGUGUAGCAGCUGGCUAGACCUGCGAUCUCCACGGGCAUAGGGAAAUCCCAUAAGGGUCUGUGUUAUGUUUUAAGUUGGCAAAUUUAGAAGUAAAAGAAUGCAUAGGUGUGUCAAAUUAUACAGCUCCAGAAAAAAUUAAGAGAUCACUGCACCUUUUUCUUUCCUUUCCAAUGAAAGUUUUGAGUUAGGAACAGAAGCGUUCAAUUUGCAGUGGUCUCUUAAUUUUAAUCCUUCUGUUCCUCAUUCAAAACCUUCCUUCUCUACUUUUUUGGAAAGGAAAGAAAAAUGUGUGGUGGUCUCUUAAUUUUUUCCGGAGCUGUAUGUGCAUUUGUUAAGUUUGAUUUUGAGGCUUGACACUUGCAAAAUAUGAAAAACCUCCCAAAUGUAUUGUUUAAUUGUUACUGAGAUUUAAUUAUUGUAAAACGACAAUAAUGGAUGGCCCUCUGAUGUCAGCUGGUAGGGGCGGGGGGUGCCGUCUUCAUUGGCUGGAGGAGGGGCCUCAUUUUCAUUCGUAGGGGGAGGGCCCUUAUCUUCAUUGAUGGGGGGAGGGGCCUCAUCUUCAUUGUUAGGUUGAGGGGCCUCACCCUAACAAUGGGAAUCACCGGCUUGAGAAUCACCGGCUGUCACCUGAACCAGGAUGCUGUUUUAGUAUUGUACGAGUCAGUCAGGUGACUGUCAGGUGACGUUAGCUAAGCCUUGCUGCGCCUCCAAUCUGUUGUAGAGAUUUCCAACAGCAGAUUGGAGUUAAGAACAAAGCAGCUCUGACCUCCUCCUACCUCUCUCUGGCCCAGUUAAUGCUUGGCUUCAACAUGAGGCCUUGGUCCUCAUCUUGUCCACAUUCUGACUGUGCCCAGGUAUUCAGACCCUUGUUAAAAGCAUAUUACAACCUGAAUGGGAUCCGAUCUUAUAACCAUAAGACAAGCUCAUGUCAAAACCAGGACAUUAGACACGUCUUAUUUCAGGUAUCCACCCACAAGACCACCCAUCUAUUCCUCCCUUCCUCCAUUCAUCCCACUUCAUUAAAACACAUCGUUUAUUUACUCUACUGGCAUCAUGGUAUAAUGAUCCAGUGAUGAUAAAUCACAUUUUGAAUAACAAUAAAUGUAAUAACAGCCCAAUAGUUUCUAACUGAAUUACUUUUUAUUUAAUUAGAAAUGUGUGCCAACGUAAUAAACCACAACUGCAGUUGUAUUAGAGUUGGUGUUAGCCGCAGGGGAAGUAUCUCCCCCAUGUCUGCCUCUCUUGGUUGGGUUUGUCACUCAGCACCUCUGCUACCACUUUCCCACAAACCUCUUAUCAUCCUGCAUUACCAGCAUGCAAUACCAUUUUGCAUUACCAUCAAGACAUCCCCUAUGCAUUACUGCCCAUCAUUACCAUCCUCAAUUACUGCCGUGCAUCAUCAUCAUGUUAUAACAUCAUGCAUUACCACCCAACAUCGCCACUUUGUAUUUACCUCCCGCAUUAUCGCCCUGCGUUAUCACCCUGUAUUAUCCUGCAUUAUCGUCCUCUCACUCCAACGCUUCCUAUUCUCCCCUAAAAAGCUGUGAGUUUUUUUUUUUUAGGAUGGAUGGUUGCAUGAGAUGGGCCAGAAUACCUUGCAUUGACAGACACAUGCCCGAGCCCUGGGCGUGCCCGCGGACGGUAAUCCCAGCACAGUGGCCAGAGGAUGAAGGGCAGAGAUUCGGCGAGGACGUGGAGUGGCAACAGCAAUACACAGCCCUCAAAGACCCACAGAAUGUUACACAGCACCCUCACACACCCUCACUGAGGACUGGGAGCAGAUUCUAUGACUGUAAUGUUGAACCCAAACACGCUAUUUACAUCAGUUUAGAUCAGAGAUUGUUCUAUGAUUUUAUCGUAGAUUAUUUUUGACUCAGUACACAGGCACCAGUCUGUCAUGCUGGCAUCAGAGCCCAUAAAGACGCGUGAUUGGCUGGUUGGGGAAUGUAAAGGUGGGGCUAAGCAAAAGAGGGGGAGGGGCCUUUUCGGGAGGGAGGGUACUGGGAGAGGGGGGACUGUGUUGCUCUAAUUUUAGCCAAUGGCUCUGCUGGGGUGGAGCUAAUCCUCUUUGGACUGAAUUAGGAUUACCAGGCGGCUUUACGACCAGGCUGCCCGCAUGGAGAUAUUCCCUCUGUGUAAUAUUGACCCGUAGCUUGCAGAGGGAGGGAACAAAUCCCAGUGCUGUAGGACGCUACGGAGGGGCUAGUUGGGGCUAUCUUGGCCAAGAGAGAGAAAGAGAGAGAUAGGAUGGAGAAGGAGAAGUAGAGAGACAAAAGAAAAGAAGAGGAGGGUUUGAAGAGAGUCGAGAGGUGGGAUGAGAACCUGGUGGUGUUUGUGGUUGAUUAUUCCUUACAAUGUGUCUAACUCUGUGAUGCUGAGAGACUAACGCACCAGUCAGCAUACCUAUGUAUUCCCCCUAGGACCUAGGACCUGGGUAACACCAGGUCACCAUCCCAACCAUCCAACACCAGGACACCAUCCCACCCAACACCAGGACCCCAUCCCACCCAACACCAGGACCCUAUCCCACCCACCCAACACCAGGACACCAUACCACCCUCCCAAAACCAGGUCACCAUCCCAACUACCCAACACCAGGACACCAUCCCACCCAACACCAGGACACCAUCCCACACAACACCAGGACCCCAUCCCACCCACCCAACACCAGGACACCAUACCACCCAACACCAGGACACCAUCCCACCCACCCAACACCAGGACACCAACCCACCCAACACCAGGACCCCAUCCCACCCACCCAACACCAGGACACCAACCCACCCAACACCAGGACACCAUCCCACCCAACACCAGGACACCAACCCACCCAACACCAGGACACCAACCCACCCAACACCAGGACCCCAUCCCACCCAACACCAGGACCCCAUCCCACCCACCCAACACCAAGACACCAACCCACCCAACACCAGGACACCAUCCCACCCAACACCAGGACACCAUUCCACACAGCAACAGGACACCAUCCCACACAACACCAGUGAACUAUCCCACCACCAGCACACCAUCCCACCCAACACCAGCACACCAUUCCAUCCAACCAGGGCCACUAUCCUAGAUAUGCACCCAAAUAAAUAUAUGGACAUAACAUUGUUAUUUCUGUUGCUACAAUGUAGCUCUAUAAACUGUCUGGACUAUACUAUGUAUGUUGGGAGGGGGAGGUUGAAUGUACCUCUGUGAACUGCCUGGACUGUACUAUGUAUGUUAAGUGGGGGGAGGUGGGAUGUAGCUCUAUAAACUGUUUGGACUGUACUAUCAAUGUUAGGAGGAGUGGAAGUGGGGUGUAGCAUUAUAACCUGUCUGGACUGUACUAUGUAUGUUAGGUGGAGGGGGUGGAGCAGGUUGCUUUAUAAACUGUCUGGACUGUACUAUGUAUGUUAGGUGGAGGGGGUGAAGCAGGUUGGUUUAUAAACUGUCUGGACUGUACUAUGUGUGUUAGGUGGAGGGGGUGAAGCAGGUUGCUUUAUAAACUGUCUGGACUGUACUAUGUGUGUUAGGUGGGGGAGGUGUGUGAGGGAUGAGUUAAGCGGGGGGGAUCGUGAGGUUGAAACCUAAUCCCCAGGUCUGCAGCACUGCUGGAUGAUAUAGAAACGAACAUGUAAAUCCUGCCUUCACAACGUCCUUUUGUCUGGAUAUUAGAUUUCUUAAUUGCUUUUUUACUUUUUUGGAUUUACUUUAAUGCCAAGGGAAUGCCAAGUUUGGUAAGACAUUCAUUUAUUGAUCUUUAAUCAUCUCUUGGUCUGCUUUUGAAAGUGACCUAUGUCAAUUUGUAAAUUGUGUGUUCUGUUGCUGUGAAAAUAUCAUGAAAAAACUGGUGGAAGAAAAAUUACAUAUUUUAUCAUUACAUAUCAAUAUAUGUAUGUAAAUAUCAGUUAGUUCCAAAAAACUGUCAAAACUGUUUUUCCCCAAUGAUUUGUAAACACAAUUUUAUGAAGAGAAAAGCAGGCGCCAUAAUGCAUCAUAAAGGACAUGGAGAAAAAUAAAUCAGUAAGUACAGAAAAUAUGUUCUUUCAAACAGGAACUUAAAAUCUAGCUGCAGUACACUAAAUGGCCACAUCAGAUGGGAUUCCCAGUUCAGAUAUAACAAUGUAAGCUUGAUAAACUGAAAAUAUAUUUCCCAUUAACAUUCAAGCAAAAUAAAACGAACAACAACGACAACACAACUCCAAAAGGUUAACAUGUAUUACAGUGUGUGUGUGUGUUAACAGUAACAGUGUAUGUUUAUAUUUUCUUCUUAAAGAAUGUAAUCAGACAGUAAAUCGAUGUAUGGUCAUGGAUAAUCCAAUAAACCACACCCCAUGUCUCCACUAUCAACUGGAUGAAAACAGGCAGGUCAGGGUUGAAAAGGAUUCACCUUUGACCUAUCAUGGCCAUCAAGGACCUGAUGACCUCAGUUCUCACUCAUGAUUUCCUGGAACACUUCCUGCCUUUCACAGGUCUACAUUACUGCCAGGAACGUCCGCGUUCUACCUGUAGUAUAAUGAACACACCUUCUGAUGACAUCACAUACAACCAAACCAGCUCUUCAUAUUGACUAUCUGCACCUUCAGUCAGGUUCUAGAGACAUCCCUAUCUACUCCAUGGUCAUUUUCAGCAAUGACAAAGAAAAUGACCUCAAAUCCCACAUAUUUAUUAAUGUUUACAGUUCCAGUCACACA
ensembl:lncRNA